rnacentral:rRNA from 1 species
CCUACGGGUGGCAGCAGUAGGGAAUCUUCCACAAUGGGCGAAAGCCUGAUGGAGCAACGCCGCGUGGGUGAAGAAGGUCUUCGGAUCGUACAACCCUGUUGUUAGAGAAGAAAGUGCGUGAGAGUAACUGUUCACGUUUCGACGGUAUCUAACCAGAAAGCAACGGCUAACUACGUGCCAGCAGCCGCGGUAAUACGUAGGUGGCAAGCGUUAUCCGGAUUUAUUGGGCGUAAAGGGAACGCAGGCGGUCUUUUAAGUCUGAUGUUAAAGCCUUCGGCUUAACCGGAGUAGUGCAUUGGAAACUGGGAGAAUUGAGUGCAGAAGAGGAGAGUGGAACUCCAUGUGUAGCGGUGAAAUGCGUAGAUAUAUGGAAGAACACCAGUGGCGAAAGCGGCUCUCUGGUCUGUAACUGACGCUGAGGUUCGAAAGCGUGGGUAGCAAACAGGAUUAGAUACCCCGGUAGUC